AUUGAACGCUGGCGGCAUGCCUAACACAUGCAAGUCGAACGGCAGCACGGGAGGAACCCUGGUGUCGUGUUGGCGACGGGCGGGUGAUUCAUCCGUACGUGCCCUACCGAUGGGGCUAGGGUAACGACGGUUACGCUAAUACCGUACACGAUCAUAGGAUGAACGCGAGGGACCAUCGGGUCUCGCGCGAUUGGCGGGCCCGAUGAGAGAUUAGCUAGUUGGAUGGGUAAGGGCCUACCAAGCCGACGAACUGUAGCUGGUCUGAGAGGACGACCGGCCACACUGGAACUGAGACACGGUCCAGACUCCUACGGGAGGCAGCAGUGGGGAAUUUUGGACAAUGGGCGCAAGCCUGAUCCAGCCAUACCGCGUGCGGGAUGAAGGCCUUCGGGUUGUAAACUUCUUUUGUUGGGAAAGAAAAGAUGCUGGCUAAUACCUGGGGAUCAUGACGGUACCGAAAGAAUAAGCACCGGCUAACUACGUG
rnacentral:rRNA from 1 species